CCAGACUCCUACGGGAGGCAGCGGUGGGGAAUAUUGCACAAUGGGGGAAACCCUGAUGCAGCGACGCCGCGCGAGUGAAGAAGUAUCUCGGUACGUAAAGCUCUAUCAGCAGGGAAGAAAAUGACGGUACCUGACUAAGAAGCCCCGGCUAACUACGUGCCAGCAGCCGCGGUAAUACGUAGGGGGCAAGCGUUAUCCGGAUUUAUUGGGUUUAAAGGGUGCGCAGGCGGCGGGUCAAGCAAGCGGUAAAAUAGCGGGGCUCAACCCCGUCGAGCCGUUUGAACUGGCGCGCUUGAGUUCAGGCGAGGUAGGCGGAAUUCGUGGUGUAGCGGUGAAAUGCAUAGAUAUCACGAAGAACUCCGAUUGCGAAGGCAGCUUACCAGUCUGCGACUGACGCUCAGGCACGAAAGUUUGGGUAUCGAACAGGAUUAGAUCCCCUAGUA
rnacentral:rRNA from 1 species